GGCCGACUGGUGUAGUGGUUAUCACGUCUGCUUUACACGCAGCAGGUCGCCGGUUCGAUCCCGGCGUUGGUCA